UGAGGAAUAUUGGUCAAUGGGCGGGAGCCUGAACCAGCCAAGUCGCGUGAAGGAAGAAGGAUCUAUGGUUCGUAAACUUCUUUUGCAGGGGAAUAAAGUGCAGGACGUGUCCUGUUUUGUAUGUACCCUGAGAAUAAGGAUCGGCUAACUCCGUGCCAGCAGCCGCGGUAAUACGGAGGAUCCGAGCGUUAUCCGGAUUUAUUGGGUUUAAAGGGUGCGUAGGUGGUUUGAUAAGUCAGCGGUGAAAGUUUGCAGCUUAACUGUAAAAAUGCCGUUGAAACUGUCGGACUUGAGUGUAAAUGAGGUAGGCGGAAUGCGUGGUGUAGCGGUGAAAUGCAUAGAUAUCACGCAGAACUCCAAUUGCGAAGGCAGCUUACUAAGCUACAACUGACACUGAAGCACGAAAGCGUGGGGAUCAAACA
rnacentral:rRNA from 1 species